rnacentral:rRNA from 1 species
GACGAACGCUGGCGGCGUGCUUAACACAUGCAAGUCGAACGGAAAGGCCCUGCUUUUGUGGGGUGCUCGAGUGGCGAACGGGUGAGUAACACGUGAGUAACCUGCCCUUGACUUUGGGAUAACUUCAGGAAACUGGGGCUAAUACCGGAUAGGAGCUCCUGCUGCAUGGUGGGGGUUGGAAAGUUUCGGCGGUUGGGGAUGGACUCGCGGCUUAUCAGCUUGUUGGUGGGGUAGUGGCUUACCAAGGCUUUGACGGGUAGCCGGCCUGAGAGGGUGACCGGCCACAUGGGGACUAAGGUAGGGCGCAGACUCCAACGGGAGGCAACGGGGGGGAAUAUGACACAGUGGGCGGGCGCCUGAGAAAGCAACGCCGGGUGCGGAAUGACGGCCUUCGGGUUGAAAACCGCUUUCGCCUGUGACGAAGGGUGAGUGACGGUAAUGGAAAAAGAAGCACCGGCUAACUACGUG